rnacentral:rRNA from 1 species
UACGAAGGGUGCAAGCGUUAAUCGGAAUUAUUGGGCGUAAAGGGUGCGUAGGCGGUUCGUUAAGUCUGUCGUGAAAUCCCCGGGCUCAACCUGGGAAUGGCGAUGGAUACUGGCGAGCUAGAGUGUGUCAGAGGAUGGUGGAAUUCCCGGUGUAGCGGUGAAAUGCGUAGAGAUCGGGAGGAACAUCAGUGGCGAAGGCGGCCAUCUGGGACAACACUGACGCUGAAGCACGAAAGCGUGGGGAGCAAACAGG